AGAGAGAGCGGCGUACGGGUGCGGAACACGUGUGCAACCUGCCUUUAUCAGGGGGAUAGCCUUUCGAAAGGAAGAUUAAUACCCCAUAAUAUUUAAGAUGGCAUCAUUUUAAAUUGAAAACUACGGUGGAUAAAGAUGGGCACGCGCAAGAUUAGAUAGUUGGUGAGGUAACGGCUCACCAAGUCAGUGAUCUUUAGGGGGCCUGAGAGGGUGAUCCCCCACACUGGUACUGAGACACGGACCAGACUCCUACGGGAGGCAGCAGUGAGGAAUAUUGGACAAUGGGUGAGAGCCUGAUCCAGCCAUCCCGCGUGAAGGACGACGGCCCUAUGGGUUGUAAACUUCUUUUGUAUAGGGAUAAACCUAGAUACGUGUAUCUAGCUGAAGGUACUAUACGAAUAAGCACCGGCUAACUCCGUGCCAGCAGCCGCGGUAAUACGGAGGGUGCAAGCGUUAUCCGGAUUUAUUGGGUUUAAAGGGUCCGUAGGCGGAUCAGUAAGUCAGUGGUGAAAUCUCAUAGCUCAACUAUGAAACUGCCAUUGAUACUGUUGGUCUUGAGUAAGGUAGAAGUAGCUGGAAUAAGUAGUGUAGCGGUGAAAUGCAUAGAUAUUACUUAGAACACCAAUUGCGAAGGCAGGUUACUAUGUCUUAACUGACGCUGAUGGACGAAAGCGUGGGGAGCGAACAGGAUUAGAUACCCUGGUAGUCCACGCUGUAAACGAUGCUAACUCGUUUUUGGGUUUUCGGGUUCAGAGACUAAGCGAAAGUGAUAAGUUAGCCACCUGGGGAGUACGAACGCAAGUUUGAAACUCAAAGGAAUUGACGGGGGCCCGCACAAGCGGUGGAUUAUGUGGUUUAAUUCGAUGAUACGCGAGGAACCUUACCAAGGCUUAAAUGGGAAUUGAUCGGUUUAGAAAUAGACCUUCCUUCGGGCAAUUUUCAAGGUGCUGCAUGGUUGUCGUCAGCUCGUGCCGUGAGGUGUUAGGUUAAGUCCUGCAACGAGCGCAACCCCUGUUACUAGUUGCUACCAUUAAGUUGAGGACUCUAGUAAGACUGCCUACGCAAGUAGAGAGGAAGGUGGGGAUGACGUCAAAUCAUCACGGCCCUUACGCCUUGGGCCACACACGUAAUACAAUGGCCGGUACAGAGGGCAGCUACACAGCGAUGUGAUGCAAAUCUCGAAAGCCGGUCUCAGUUCGGAUUGGAGUCUGCAACUCGACUCUAUGAAGCUGGAAUCGCUAGUAAUCGCGCAUCAGCCAUGGCGCGGUGAAUACGUUCCCGGGCCUUGUACACACCGCCCGUCAAGCC
rnacentral:rRNA from 1 species